UCUGUUCCAUGUACUUAAGUUGAUGGCAGAGAGGAGAGAGACUAUGUCUGUGCUCAGUGUUCUGAACAAUGAACAUUUGAGGGACUGUAGCUUGACAUU
ensembl:snoRNA